AUUGAACGCUGGCGGUAUGCUUAACACAUGCAAGUCGAACGGUAACAGGCCUUCGGGCGCUGACGAGUGGCGGACGGGUGAGUAACGCGUAGGAAUCUGCCUCAUAGUGGGGGACAACGUGGGGAAACUCACGCUAAUACCGCAUACGCCCUACGGGGGAAAGCGGGGGAUCUUCGGACCUCGCGCUAUGAGAUGAGCCUGCGUUAGAUUAGCUAGUUGGUAGGGUAAAGGCCUACCAAGGCGACGAUCUAUAGCUGGUCUGAGAGGACGAUCAGCCACACUGGGACUGAGACACGGCCCAGACUCCCUACGGGGAGGCAGCAGUGGAGAAUAUUGGACAAUGGGCGAAAGCCUGAUCCAGCAAUGCCGCGGUGAGUGAUGAAGGCCUUAGGGUUGUAAAGCUCUUUUACAGGGAUGAUAAUGACAGUACCUGGGAGAAUAAGCUCCGGCUAACUCGUGCCAGCAGCCG
rnacentral:rRNA from 1 species